GAGUCAGAGGGAGAGGAAAAAUAUAGAUUAUGUAAGUCACCCAAAUACACACACACACACACACACACACACACACACACACACACACGACCCAACCAAGAAACCAAGAUAAGAUACUGAAUGUACAUAUAUCUGGUUUUCCCAGAAUUCCUUGAACUAACUCCCUGGCACAUCUAUGUUCUCUACACCAGGGGAGCUGGAGGAAGCACAGAAUGUCCUCACGUUUGAUGUUCAACCCUGGGAGGAUCUUCCCCAUGGCUUCCUCUAUAGCAGGUUCAAAGCGCAGCAUUCACCUCUAAUCUUUCUCUAACUCCUCCAAAGACACAGAAGGUGCUGACUGAGAAGGCAAACAAUCAGAAGGAACAUCAUUUAUGUUGUACCCUGGGGAGAAGAUGAAAAAAAUCUCAAGGUGUUUUCUAUUUGGUUUGCAGAGGGAAGAGUUUAACAACUUCGCCCCGUCCAAGAAGCAGCUGGAUUUUUAUGUCAGCCCGAUAGCUGCUUCAGUGGAGGAAGACAGACACGAAGCAGAAUGUCCUACUAAGACCUUGUAAUAAAAAUUGGUGUCAGCCCUGUGGAAAGGAAGCAGCAUCUAUCCAAACUAUUUAAGAAAAUGUGAUAAUAAAAGGGUUAGUAUCCAG